AAUCUGCCCUCCACUUUGGGAUAACUCCGGGAAACCGGGGCUAAUACCGAAUAUUGAAACAUAAGUGGCAUCACUGAGUUUUGAAAGAAUUUCGGUGGAGGAUGGCUUCGCGGCCUAUCAGCUUGUUGGUGAGGUAAUGGCUCACCAAGGCGACGACGGGUAGCCGGCCUGAGAGGGCGACCGGCCACACUGGGACUGAGACACGGCCCAGACUCCUACGGGAGGCAGCAGUGGGGAAUAUUGGGCAAUGGACGCAAGUCUGACCCAGCGACGCCGCGUGCGG
rnacentral:rRNA from 1 species